rnacentral:lncRNA from 1 species
UCAAGCAAUGCAACCUUUGGGGUAUAAGGAAUAGAAACAAUCAUUUCCUAUAUUAUUUGAAUAUUGUUUAGCAUUUUCUCUUCAUGAGUUACUGUUGCCAAAUGAGUCAGCUGAACAAAUCUAGUUCUUGGAAGUCUCACAAGGCAGGGUUUACUUGGGCCGAUAUGUGAAUUUAGCACUGGAAAGAAGACUUUGCAAAUUAACUCAGUGUUCUUAAUUAAUUGUAAUAUGCCAAAACAAUGAGUCCUUUUGCUCUGCAAAGUCUCUAUGUGGAUUUCAGUUUUGACUUUAAAAAAUUUUUUUUAAUGAAACUGAACCUUUCUAGAAGCUGUUGAGUACCUUAUAUUCCUCUCAAUUCCUCUGAUCACUCCUUUCCAAAAUUCUCUUUCCAUAUUCUACUAAAUGCCACUUCGGCUACUCAGUUAAACUCAUCGCCAUUAAUAAGGUAUGGAGUUUGGAACUAAGAUAGAAGUUAGUAAAUGUGUCUUUAUCCUGUCAAUCAUGAAAAUCAGCAAAGUUAGGAGGGAAAUCAAUCCAUGUAUGAGAGACAUCAAGGUCAAAUAUCCUCAAGAAUGUUCUCUACUAUCUGACAAGAUGCUGUCUUAGUGAGUAAAGUCCAAGGGUGUUGGUCUGCCUGUUAUGAGCUGUGAUUGGUAUGAGAAAAUUAAAUUUUGCACAAUAAAGUACUCAGGUUCUUCCAGGAGGCAAGAGGCACUGAUAGAUGAUCCUGGUGUGCCUAGUCCCCACUCAGAACUCAACAUUUGGGACACAAAUGUUGGUGUUAAAGAAAUCAGUGUAAUCCAGAAGCCUGACCAUGAGAAGGUGGAUAGGGCUGCAUUCUCCUAAAGUUCAUCUCAGAGCCUUAGGCAGGCCAGGGCACUUAUGCAAAUCAAUAAAGUGGGACCGUGUGCAAGGGCUACACCAUAGAGUGGUUUUGCCAUCUAAGGUCUGUCCUUUUCACAUUGUUGUUAAUGGAAAAUUCAUGAGUAACUAUCAGUUUUCCAUCCCCUGAAAUUCUCUUAAAUUCCUUAGAUGGACACCUUGUUUACCUGCAAGUUUAAUAUUAUUUCACCUUUAACUGAAGAAGU